GACGAACGCUGGCGGCGUGCUUAACACAUGCAAGUCGAACGGAAAGGCCCUGCUCUUGCGGGGUGCUCGAGUGGCGAACGGGUGAGUAACACGUGAGUAACCUGUCCUUGACUUUGGGAUAACUUCAGGAAACUGGGGCUAAUACCGGAUAGGAGCUCUUGCUGCACGGUGGGGGUUGGAAAGUUUCGGCGGUUGGGGCUGGACUCGCGGCUUAUCAGCUUGUUGGUCGGGUAGUGGCUUACCAAGGCUUUGACGGGUAGCCGGCCUGAGAGGGUGGCCGGGGUCAUGGGUCCUGAGGGACGGCCCAGACUCCUACGGUAGGCAGUAGGGGGAAGUAUUGCACAAUGGCGGGAAGCCUGAGGCGGCGACGCCGCGUGCGUGAUGACGUGUUUCGGGUUAUGAACCACUGUCGCAUUAGCUGAAGCGGUAGUGACGGUAAUUGGUAAAGAAGCACCGGCUAACUACGUG
rnacentral:rRNA from 1 species